UGCAGAUGUGGGCCAUUUUGAUAGCCGUGGUUGUUGUCAUUAUUGUCGUCAUUAUCAUCUGGACGCAGUCAUAAAGUCAGAAAUCUGGUUAUGAUUGGAAGAAAAGAUCAGGAUUUGAAGUAGUAUCGACUUCAGAAGGAAAAGAGAGAUAUAACGGAUGAAUGAAUGAAUGCUCUUCCAAUACGUUCUAACCUGCUGAUUUUCAAAAGCAUAUCUUGUAAACUAUCCUCAAUGGGUUGUUUUUUUUUUUCUUUUCUUUUUUAGGUUUUGUUUUUAAUAACUAGAAUUUGAAUAUGUUUCAGAAUGCCAUUUCCAUACACCUCUAACACACUCCUCUGUGCAAACCAUAGAAUAAUAACUGACAGUGUACAGGUUACAAAAUGAUCCAAAACCAUUAACGCAUACUUUCAUGAUAAUAUGAGAGUCAUUUCGCUAUCAUUUGGAGGUCAAAACAUAUUGAUCAAAACUCUUGUUGUGAAAGCCAUUUGCCAUGAUCUCAUUGAUGAAUCCCUCAUGGACUCUUUCAGUGGACGGCAGUAAUCAGACACUCUUGUUUUGGCUGCGUCAGAGUCUUUCUGUGCCAACAAGACAUAAGAGCCUUUCCUGAACAACCACAGACGUGCCUUUAAACAACUCCACUGCCAUCCCGUAACAACAGCACACAACUUUGCUCUGAUUUUACUCAGAAUGUCUGCAUAAAAAUGUUGUAUGUAAGUUUGAUAACUUCUUCAAAGAUUGAAUUUUGAAGUGAUAAUUCACUAAUAAUUUAACUGCAUUAUAUGUGUUUCCUUAUGUAGAAAUAGUUUGCUAGGAAAUAUCUUUGCUCGCCUCUCGCUCACGGUGCCAAAACAUUUUAUUUUUGUUUAUCUGAGCUUUUUUUGUAUGCAUCUCUUUGUAUAUCUCACAUGUGUAUACAUUGUAAACAAAUGCAAUUCUAUACUGUGGCCUUACAAACUGUUAAGCAUGUUGAAUUGCCCGUGUUGGCUCAAUAAAACAGAUUUAACAUCC